rnacentral:rRNA from 1 species
GAAAAGAACUUUGAAAAGAGAGUAAAAUAGUACGUGAAAUUGUUGAAAGGGAAACGAUUGAAGUCAGUCGUAUCGACGAGAAAUCAGCUCUUCGAGUGCGAACUUGUGGGCGUGCGUGAGCUUCGGUCUCGCUGUUUGCAACGUUUGUGCUUUUUGGGUGUACUUUUUCGUAUGAUAGGCCAACAUCAGUUUCGAACACCAUAAAAUGACCGGCGGAAUGUAGCUUCGAUCUCGAUUGAAGUGUUAUAGCCUCUGGUAGAUGUGGUGAUCGGGACUGAGGAUUGCAACGAAUACCCUUCGGGCUAUCCGUCUGACCUCUGAAGGUUGCUUAGGUGCCGAAAGCUUGCUUACGGUUAUUUAAGUUGACAGUCAAAAGGCUAGAACGUGAUUAUAUUCGUUA